rnacentral:rRNA from 1 species
GAUGAACGCUGGCGGCGUGCCUAAUACAUGCAAGUCGAGCGAACGGACGAGAAGCUUGCUUCUCUGAUGUUAGCGGCGGACGGGUGAGUAACACGUGGAUAACCUACCUAUAAGACUGGGAUAACUUCGGGAAACCGGAGCUAAUACCGGAUAAUAUUUUGAACCGCAUGGUUCAAAAGUGAAAGACGGUCUUGCUGUCACUUAUAGAUGGAUCCGCGCUGCAUUAGCUAGUUGGUAAGGUAACGGCUUACCAAGGCAACGAUGCAUAGCCGACCUGAGAGGGAGAUCGGACAGACGGGAACUGAGAAACGGUACAGACUCCUAGGGGAGGCAGCAGUAGGGAAUCUUACGAAAUGGGCGAAAGCCGGACGGAGCAACGCCGCGUGAGGGAUGAAGGUCUUCGGAUCGUAAAACUCUGUUAUUAGGGAAGAACAUAUGUGUAAGUAACUGUGCACAUCUUGACGGUACCUAAUCAGAAAGCCACGGCUAACUACGUG